GACCGGGAGAAAAUCUGGCCAGUGAAAAAUUUGAAUCAGACAAAAGUGGGCCACUUAAUUCUGCAUGAAUACACUUGAGAGUGAAUAUGCUCUGAUUCUCCAAGCAAGAUGGCUCUUCACAAUACUUGGCUUUGUUAAAACCAUGUCUGCUGACACUUGGACUCUCUCCAGUUACCUGGCAUCUGAAAUUAUACCUUUAGUGAUUCACUCCUUUGAACUAAACACAGAUGUCUUCAGGUAUCCUCUUUUGAAGAACAAGCACCCUUGGGAAGAUUUAGCACAAAAUAACAAGUUUAGCUGACUAAAAAGACCAGGUGUCUAAUCGACUUGGCUGGUUGUACUGACAGAUAUUUGAUAUGACAUCAAUUGACUAAACUGACGGGAAUUUGAAUGAG